rnacentral:rRNA from 1 species
UACGGAGGAUGCGAGCGUUAUCCGGAUUUAUUGGGUUUAAAGGGUGCGUAGGCGGCUUUUUAAGUCAGCGGUGAAAUUUUGCAGCUUAACUGUAACAGUGCCGUUGAUACUGCAUGGCUAGGAUUUGGUUGCUGUGGGUGGAAUGUGUGGUGUAGCGGUGAAAUGCUUAGAUAUCACACAGAAUAUCAAUUGCGAAGGCAGCUCACAAAGCCAAGAUUGACGCUGAGGCACGAAAGUGUGGGGAUCAAACA